rnacentral:rRNA from 1 species
UAGGGAAUCUUCGGCAAUGGGGGCAACCCUGACCGAGCAACGCCGCGUGAGUGAAGAAGGUUUUCGGAUCGUAAAGCUCUGUUGUAAGAGAAGAACGUGUGUGAGAGUGGAAAGUUCACACAGUGACGGUAACUUACCAGAAAGGGACGGCUAACUACGUGCCAGCAGCCGCGGUAAUACGUAGGUCCCGAGCGUUGUCCGGAUUUAUUGGGCGUAAAGCGAGCGCAGGCGGUUUAAUAAGUCUGAAGUUAAAGGCAGUGGCUUAACCAUUGUUCGCUUUGGAAACUGUUAAACUUGAGUGCAGAAGGGGAGAGUGGAAUUCCAUGUGUAGCGGUGAAAUGCGUAGAUAUAUGGAGGAACACCGGUGGCGAAAGCGGCUCUCUGGUCUGUAACUGACGCUGAGGCUCGAAAGCGUGGGGGGCAAACAGG